rnacentral:rRNA from 1 species
GACGAACGCUGGCGGCGUGCUUAACACAUGCAAGUCGAACGGAAAGGCCCUGCUUUUGUGGGGUGCUCGAGUGGCGAACGGGUGAGUAACACGUGAGUAACCUGCCCUUGACUUUGGGAUAACUUCAGGAAACUGGGGCUAAUACCGGAUAGGAGCUCCUGCUGCAUGGGGGGGGUUGGAAAGUUUCGGCGGUUGGGGAUGGACUCGCGGCUUAUCAGCUUGUUGGUGGGGUAGUGGCUUACCAAGGCUUUGACGGGUAGCCGGCCUGAGAGGGUGACAGGGCACAUAGGGACUGGGGUACGGCCCGGACUGCUACGGGAGGCAGCAGUGGGGAAUAUUGCACAAUGGGCGGAAGGCUGAUGGAGCAACGCCGCGUGGGGGAUGACGGCCUUCGGGGUGUAAACCGCGUUCGCCUGUGACGAAGCGUGAGUGACGGUAAUGGGUAAGGAAGCACCGGCUAACUACGUG